UACUGGGCGUAAAGAGCUCGUAGGUGGUUUGUCGCGUUGUUCGUGAAAUCUCACGGCUUAACUGUGAGCGUGCGGGCGAUACGGGCAGACUUGAGUACUGCGGGGGAGACUGGAAUUCCUGGUGUAGCGGUGGAAUGCGCAGAUAUCAGGAGGAACACCGGUGGCGAAGGCGGGUCUCUGGGCAGUAACUGACGCUGAGGAGCGAAAGCGUGGGGAGCGAACAGGAUUAGAUACUCUGGUAGUCCACGCCGUAAACGGUGGGUACUAGGUGUGGGUUUCCUUCCUUGGGAUCCGUGCCGUAGCUAACGCAUUAAGUACCCCGCCUGGGGAGUACGGUCGCAAGGCUAAAACUCAAAGAAAUUGACGGGGGCCCGCACAAGCGGCGGAGCAUGUGGAUUAAUUCGAUGCAACGCGAAGAACCUUACCUGGGUUUGACAUGCACAGGACGCCGGCAGAGAUGUCGGUUCCCUUGUGGCCUGUGUGCAGGUGGUGCAUGGCUGUCGUCAGCUCGUGUCGUGAGAUGUUGGGUUAAGUCCCGCAACGAGCGCAACCCUUGUCUCAUGUUGCCAGCGGGUAAUGUCCGGGGACUUCGUGAGAGACUGCCGGGGUCAACUCGGAGGAAGGUGGGGAUGACGUCAAGUCAUCAUGCCCCUUAUGUCCAGGGCUUCACACAUGCUACAAUGGCCGGUACAAAGGGCUGCGAUGCCGCGAGGUUAAGCGAAUCCUUUUAAAGCCGGUCUCAGUUCGGAUCGGGGUCUGCAACUCGACCCCGUGAAGUCGGAGUCGCUAGUAAUCGCAG
rnacentral:rRNA from 1 species